CCUACGGGAGGCAGCAGUGGGGAAUAUUGGACAAUGGGGGCAACCCUGAUCCAGCCAUGCCGCGUGUGUGAAGAAGGCCCUCGGGUUGUAAAGCACUUUCAGUGAGGAAGAACGCCUGGUGGUUAAUACCCAUCAGGAAAGACAUCACUCACAGAAGAAGCACCGGCUAACUCCGUGCCAGCAGCCGCGGUAAUACGGAGGGUGCGAGCGUUAAUCGGAAUUACUGGGCGUAAAGCGCGCGUAGGUGGCUUGAUAAGCCGGUUGUGAAAGCCCCGGGCUCAACCUGGGAACGGCAUCCGGAACUGUCAAGCUAGAGUGCAGGAGAGGGAGGUAGAAUUCCCGGUGUAGCGGUGAAAUGCGUAGAGAUCGGGAGGAAUACCAGUGGCGAAGGCGGCCUUCUGGACUGACACUGACACUGAGGUGCGAAAGCGUGGGUAGCAAACAGGAUUAGAUACCCUAGUAGUC
rnacentral:rRNA from 1 species